rnacentral:lncRNA from 1 species
GCAUAUACACUCAAAUAUGUAAGUUUUAUUUUUUAAUGCAAUGAUUACAAUCCGGGGUACUCUUUUUCCUUCGUUUGGGGUUUUGUCCCAUUGGGUUUUUCCCAAACAAGGUUUUAAUGAGGCCCCAAAGUGUUCUUCCUUAUCUUUUGUAAAUUUUUAUAAUUUUAAUAAAAUUAAUUAGUUGAUAAUUUAUUUAUUUUUUUGUUUAAAUUGUAUAAAGGGGGCACACUUGAUAAAAUUUGCCCCGGGCCUUGGAAAACCCAAGACCGGCUCUGGAUAACAAGAAGUAAACAUGCCCAAUGCCAUGCAGAUGAAGAUUGGAGACUUUAAGAAAUUCAUAGCAUACAGACCGUGCAAGUGCAAAUUUACAUCAGAUAUCGAUCCAAGAUGGACCAUUCAGCAAAACCAAUAGCAGGAAGGAGUAUGAAGCUGAUAACUGCUUGAUAUGGAUCUUAAAUUUCAAGAGAAUAAAUGUACACUAAU